rnacentral:rRNA from 1 species
UGAGGAAUAUUGGUCAAUGGGCGCAAGCCUGAACCAGCCAUCCCGCGUGCAGGAAGAAGGCGCUAUGCGUUGUAAACUGCUUUUCCAGGGGGCGAACGUUUCGUACGUGUACGGGAGUGACGGUACCUUGGGAAUAAGCAUCGGCUAACUCCGUGCCAGCAGCCGCGGUAAUACGGAGGAUGCGAGCGUUAUCCGGAUUUAUUGGGUUUAAAGGGUGCGUAGGCGGAUUAAUAAGUCAGUGGUGAAAACCUGCAGCUUAACUGUGGAAUUGCCGUUGAUACUGUUAGUCUUGAGUAUGGUCAAGGUAGGCGGAAUGUGUAAUGUAGCGGUGAAAUGCUUAGAUAUUACACAAAACACCGAUUGCGAAGGCAGCUUACUGGGCCGUUACUGACGCUGAUGCACGAAAGCGUGGGGAUCGAACAG